rnacentral:lncRNA from 1 species
AUCUAUAGUAUCAUCAUAUUGGUGUAGAGUGAAGUUCCCCCUAGACCACAGAUGUCAAAUUCCUUCCACAGAAGGCCAAGUGUCUGCGGGUUUUCACUCCUCCCUUGUCCUUGAUUGAUGAAUUAAGGUCCCCAAUUAGUAUGGAACUUUCCACACCUGGUGGUCUCGGGCUUAAUUUAAAGGUGAAAAUAGACCUUAGGUCCUCUACGGAAUGAGUUUGACACCCCUUGCCUAGAUGCUGAUCUUGGGGCAGUUUUGCAUUUUCCCCAAUAAUGGUUAGGAAUGGGGAGGGGAAGCCGAUCCUAGAUCUGUACCUAGGGGAAACCUCACCACAGAGCAAGUUAUUAUCAGCCAAUUUAAAUUCAUUGAAAUAUUGCCAUAUUGGAAGACAAAAUAUUAUGUCUUAUAAUAUAUGCAUGCCCAUAACAAGUUGAAUGCGUUAUACCUUUUGUUAUAUACCCAAUGUUAUAACAUUUUCUUCUGAGCAUAUAGAGCUGACAAACUCCAUCAUAAGUGAAUGAGGGUGAUGCCUACUCCACGAGCAGUACAAUACAGUGGAUCAAUGUACAAGAUCCAGGUACACAAAGCUCUAACCCAGAGCGUACUUUACAGUAUGAUCUGAGGAUCAUGAAAUCUGAAGGUGGGGCUUUGUAUUAAACUCAGUAUGGCUUCUCUUGCCCUCUGCAGGAGACACAAGGAAAAGCUCCGGGCACACUUCUUGGAGAGCCGGAAUCUGAGGGUGUGCAGUAUCAAUGCCUCUGGGUUCAUGUCUAAAUCCAGCCCAAGGCCUCAGUGUGGCUGGCAGCUUCAAAAGUGCUACAAAUCUCAUGGGUUCUCCCCUCCUCAAGGGUGCAGCAGUCUGUCAGCUGGCGCACCAACAGCAGCUCCACCGACUCUCAACAGAGCACUCCCCAAAGGGAAAAGCUUCAGGAGUAGCUCCCUGUCCCUCAGUCCAGCCCAAAGACACCAGGACACUCAUCACUUCAGGACCCUGCCAAUCUCUCGAGGACCAAGGGUUGCUGGCCCCGCCUAUAAGCACCUGCAAGAGGUAGAGUCUACCGAGAUGGAGGCGGAGUCUUUAAGAGGGUUUGACACUGGGAGGGAUGGUGGUGACGACCGCCAGCGGAGCGGGUUCCAGAAUAUGCAAACCCUAUCUCGUUCAGCGUGGAAGAAAGAUUGGAGGGAGGUGCCCUACACCCGUCUGGACAGAGGACUAAAACCUGCUCCUCCCUCUCUCCGCACACGAUCGGUCCCCAUCAUCCCCUCUCUCCAGGGACACGGCCGUGAGGGGGGUCACAUGGAUGAGACCAGGCAGGGGGUCUCGCAGGGAGGGGGUCUCGCUGGGCCAGGUCACAAGGCCCAAGGACCUGCCAGUGGCAGCAGCCACACACCCCGUCACUCAACCACCUCUUCCUCUGAGACUGUACUAGAAUCUGAGGCCAGAUCCAGUCAUGUGCGUCCCUGCGGCGUUAAGACUGUACUGAGGUUAGGGACAAGCCCUAGCCACAUGCACCAUGGCUCCUCUGAAACUCCAGUAGGGCCAGGGGGCUCGUUCCAACACUCUGGGACAGCAGCAUCCAGAUCAGGUGUUCCCAGGAUGAACAGCACAAACACUAUUAUUGCUGUGACCGUGCUGGAGUCCGAGGGAAAGAACAUGCGGUAUACACCCAGAUUGCUAUACAGCUGUCCCGGGAGCAGGGGUCCUCAGGCAGGAGGCCAAAGGGAGGCCCAGGGGCUCGGGGAACAAUACGCCCUCCCAUCCCUGAUGGAUGGAGGGGCAAACUGCCUCCUGACAGCAGUGGUGAGCAGAGGUGCUGGAAUUGAUUAUGCCAAAACGUCUGCCAGCUGA